AGUGAAAGAGAUGAAGAAUAGUGUCUAUAGGUUUAAAUGGUAGAAUUACACGGCUCAAAUGAAUGUAUCAACACGAUUGAUGGAAUUAAUUAGGGUGAUUAACCAAAACAUCACAUGAAUAUUGAAUUGUUGAAAAUUUAGUGUUGGAUACUUAGUUGGUUAAUUGGCGUAGUUGUGAUACGUUGUUGAUGAAUACGAGUUCGUUUAUGUAGAUUGAAGUUGUUAGAACCAUUUGAAACGGUUGGAACGAAUCUUAGCUUAAUUAAGGAGACUUCAAGGUUUAGCAGGCGGUCAGGUGCAGGACGGUCCACGUGCGGGUUAGAGUUCCUGCAGCUUUCUACUUUUGGUGGGUCCACUUUUGCACUCGUGGAUCACUCUAUUUCAGGUGUAUACUUUUGUACAGUGCGGGAUGACCCCAUAACUUUAUUAUUUCAUUCGUAGCGUCAUAAAGGCUCCAUAGAGACUUUGUAUCAUUUUGGGCAGUGGGUACUCAUAUGGCAUAGCGAAUGACAUUUCUACUUAUGUAUACUUUAUGUUUUGA